AAGUCGUAACAAGGUCUCCGUUGGUGAACCAGCGGAGGGAUCAUUACAGAGUUUUCUAACUCCCAAACCCAUGUGAACUUACCUUUGUUGCCUCGGCAGAAGCUACCCUGUAACGAGCUACCCUGUAGCGACUUACCCUGUAGCAAUCAUUCUGCCGGUGGACCAUUAAACUCUUGUUAUUUUAUUGUAAUCUGAGCGUCUUAUUUUAAUAAGUCAAAACUUUCAACAACGGAUCUCUUGGUUCUG
rnacentral:misc_RNA from 1 species